CAUGACAAGACAACAAAUCUAGAAUUUUAGUUCACCAGUCACAAAUUGCCUCAACGAUGACCAAGUUCGGUGUUGGCAUACUUAUUGCGCUUGCUGGUGGAGCUAUCGGUCUUAUUGUUUGGCUUGUAGCAUAGUCAUACCUUCGAAUUCGCUUUUAACAUAGCUCAGCUGCUACAGACAUGAGCCUUAACAACCAGGCGGUGGGCUGCGUCGCUGUUAUUGUGGGGCUGUGGUUUGGCUUGUUCCUGGUCUCCAUGGGCAUGAUAUGAACAGGACAGCCGCAUGUCACGCUAGGAGCCUCCAGGAAGGAUGGGCGGUAGCUACAGACAACACACGUCGUCACAUCAGUUCCCGCAGCGACGCCUGCCGGUUUCUGUUGGAGCUGCUGCAACGGUCGCCGACAUCAGAGCUGUCUCUUCGACAUUGCCAUCGUCAUCUGUAGACACCUACCAUCAGUCCUGCCGACCUCCUGACUUGUAGCUCUUCUGUUUAUGGCCAACCCACUGUCGUUACUGUACCACUAGUACUAUGCUGAACGUCUCUCACCAGUGUUUACCGCGAUAGUCAUCUUCUCCAAACUAACAAAUGCGUGUUGGGACAUAUGCUGUUUCUGCAAACAUUACAAAUCUUGUAUGACAAAUCUUGUUAUUCACCGAAGCUAUAGACUGUAAUGACGACAUGAUGACGCAAAACUGACAUCGGUUUUUCGUCACGAUGUUGUCAUCCGUCUUUGAGCUUCAUGCAGUAGUUAGACUGUGACGUAAUGAUGACGUAACCUCCACCAUGGGAUUUUGUCAUGAUAUCGUGAAUGGUCGGCUACACCCGACCGGAACUUUGAAUUGAAUGAUAGCCGCUCUUCUGUGCUCCUAUUUCAUAGAGACCUCACGUCACUGUGACAUAAUGUAUGUUAUCCUGACAUUGUGUCAGAUGUAAUCGUUUAGUCUUUGUAAAGUUUGAAGCCUGAUUGAAGCGUAUUGUAGACAAACUCUACAGUCGUGUUCACAUCGUGUAAGCCACAUAAUUCGAGGCAAAGUUUCCUGGUCUGCUGUUUCCUUUGGUGCGAAUAAAGCAAACUAACCCGCGUGAAAACAGACUUGA